AUUGGCACAUGCAGAUAUGGUGGCUGAGAAGUUCCACAAUCAGUUGUCUGCAACAGCAGGUGUUUCCGUUUUUGCUUCUUCCUCAUUUUUCUCUUGCCACCGCCAUGUUAGAAGUGCCUUUCGCCUCCUGCCAUGAUUCUGAGGCCUCCCCUGCCAUGUGGAACUGUAAGUCCAAUUAAACCUCUUUUUCUUCCCAGUCUCAGGUAUGUCUUUAUCAGCAGUGUGAAAACAUACUAAUAUAGCAGGAAAGCCAGCCCAGGUGGAGAUCCAGCCCAAACCUGAAGGCCAGAGACCCAGGGGAGCCAAUGGCGACAAUCUCCAUCUGAGCCAGAAGGCCUAACAAUAGGGAGUACCAGUGUCUGAGGACAGGAGGAGAUGGAUGUCCUGGCUCCAGCGGAGAGAGAUGCCAUUCCAAGAAAACCAUGGAAGCAGAAAAGAGGAAAGCAGAAACACAGAUGAAGCAAGAGGCUAUGUCCUCUGUGCAUGGAGACAGCAGAUCUAUUAGUAGACAGGAUGAAGAGAAAAGGUGUGAAGAAAAGCCACAUGGCUGAUGUGACAAGGAAGAAAGUGGGUCUCUCAGCUCUUCCCUUCUUGUUUUUGCCCUUUUCCCAGUACCAAGAAAUGUAUUUUUGGGGGCCACAUUCUUCCCACCAUAAUUUAGAAGGAUGCUGUUGCCAGGUUUGAAGACCACUUGAAACAAUAAUUGUUGUUAUUCUGCUAUACUCACCAAGAAUGACAAAACUAUUUACAUACUGGGGAUAGCGUGCUAGAAAAAUUGCUAAACAAAUAGUAUUUUUUCCUUCCAUAAAAUCAGAGUUGUAAAGAGCAAUAUAUUAGGCAUUUUCUUUGCCAGAGAACUUUAGCUAUGAUUUUCUGCUUCUUUAAAAUUCAUAUUAAUGAUCGUAGAUACCAGGUAUCUAAGGGAAAGACUCUUUGCAACAUCUUCUAUAUAUACCCUGGGUGUUUCUGUAUUGAAUUUACUUAAGAUUUAGGCUCUACAGUUUGAUCUCAAUCAUGUAAAAAUAUAUAGCAAGAAGGCUCCUGGGACAAAAACUGAAAUGUUUAUUAUUAAUUUUCUCUGGGCAUUGAAAUUCUGGAUGAUUUUAUUUUUUCAUACUUCUUUCUAUUUUCCAUAUAUUUUACAAUCUGUAUUCAUAGCUUCAAAAAUAAAAUAGUUGCUGUGAAUAAUCACUCUAUGUAAG
rnacentral:lncRNA from 1 species